rnacentral:rRNA from 1 species
GACGAACGCUGGCGGCGUGCUUAACACAUGCAAGUCGAACGAAGUGGCGAACGGGUGAGUAACGCGUAAUCAACCUGCCAUUCAGCGGGGGACAACAGUUGGAAACGACUGCUAAUACCGCAUCCUGCAGGAGGGGAUUGCGUCUGUGUCGCGAGUUGGAGUGUUAACGGCCCACCAAGGCGAUGAUCAGUAGCCGGUCUGCGGGGGUGAACGGCAAAAGUUGGACCUAGACACGGCCCACAUCUCGACGGGAGGCAGCAGUGGGGAACCUUCCGCAAUUGACGAAAGUCUGAAGGGGCAACGCCGCGUGAGGGAGGACGGCUUUCGGGUUGUAAAGCUCUUUUAAUCCGGACGCGGUAUCGAAAUAGAAAGCCACGGCUAACUACGUGCCAGCAGCCGCGGUAAUUC